AGUUUGAUCCUGGCUCAGAUUGAACGCUGACGGCAUGCCUUACACAUGCAAGUCGAACGGUAACGCGGGGGCAACCCUGGCGACGAGUGGCGAACGGGUGAGUAAUACAUCGGAACGUACCCAGUAGUGGGGGAUAGCUCGGCGAAAGCCGGAUUAAUACCGCAUACGACCUACUGGUGAAAGCGGGGGAUCGCAAGACCUCGCGCUAUUGGAGCGGCCGAUGUCGGAUUAGCUAGUUGGUGAGGUAAAGGCUCACCAAGGCUACGAUCCGUAGCUGGUCUGAGAGGACGACCAGCCACACUGGGACUGAGACACGGCCCAGACUCCUACGGGAGGCAGCAGUGGGGAAUUUUGGACAAUGGGCGAAAGCCUGAUCCAGCCAUGCCGCGUGUGUGAAGAAGGCCUUCGGGUUGUAAAGCACUUUUGUCCGGAACGAAACGCCAAUGACGAAUAAUCAUUGGUAAUGACGGUACCGGAAGAAUAAGCACCGGCUAACUACGUGCCAGCAGCCGCGGUAAUACGUAGGGUGCAAGCGUUAAUCGGAAUUACUGGGCGUAAAGCGUGCGCAGGCGGUUAUACAAGACAGUUGUGAAAUCCCCGGGCUCAACCUGGGAAUUGCAAAGAGAGCCGUAACACAGGUGCUGCAUGGCUGUCGUCAGCUCGUG
rnacentral:rRNA from 1 species